rnacentral:rRNA from 1 species
CGAACGUUAGAUGUAGCAAUACAUCGAAAGUGGCGAACGGGUGAGUAACACGUAAGUAAUCUACCUCUAGGAUUGGGAUAACCUUGCCAACGCGAGGCUAAUACCGGAUGUGAUCAUAGAAACGCAUGUUUUUAUGAUUAAAGAUGCAAAUCGCUUAGAGAUGAGCUUGCGGCCCAUUAUGCUAGUUGGCGGGGUAAUGGCCCACCAAGGCUGCGAUGGGUAGCCGGCCUGAGAGGGUGUACGGCCACAUUGGGACUGAGAUACGGCCCAGACUCCUACGGAAGGCAGCAGUAGGGAAUUUUGCGCAAUGGACGAAAGUCUGACGCAGCAACGCCGCGUGAAGGAUGAAGGUUCUCGGAUUGUAAACUUCUGUUAAGUGGGAAGAAAAGCUCGCAAGAGUAUGACGGUACCACUUGAGUAAGCGCCGGCUAACUACGUGCCAGCAGCCGCGGUAAUACGUAGGGUGCAAGCGUUGUUCGGAAUUACUGGGCGUAAAGAGAGCGUAGGUGGGAUUGUAAGUUAGAAGUUUAAUCUAUGGGCUUAACCCAUAAUCUGCUUUUAAUACUGCAGUUCUUGAGUAUGGGAGAGGGUGAUGGAAUUCCAGGUGUAGCGGUGGAAUGCGUAGAUAUCUGGAAGAACACCAGUAGCGAAGGCGGUCGCCUGGCCCAAUACUGACACUGAGGCUCGAAAGCUAGGGGAGCAAACAGGAUUAGAUACCCUGGUAGUCCUAGCCGUAAACGAUGAACACUAGUUGCUGGAGGAGUCAAUCUUUUCAGUGACGAAGCUAACGCAUUAAGUGUUCCGCCUGGGAAGUACGGUCGCAAGACUGAAACUCAAAGGAAUUGACGGGGGCCCGCACAAGCGGUGGAGCAUGUGCUUUAAUUCGAUGCAACGCGAAGAACCUUUACCUGGGUUUGACAUGGGAAUGAAAGAGUUCAGAGAUGGAUUCCCUUCCGCAAGGAACAUUCUACACAGGUGCUGCAUGGUUGUCGUCAGCUCGUGUCGUGAGAUGUUGGGUUAAGUCCCGCAACGAGCGCAACCCUCGCCCUUAGUUGCCAUCAGGUUAUGCUGGGAACUCUAAGGGGACCGCCUAGUUUAACUAGGAGGAAGGUGGGGAUGACGUCAAAUCAUCAUGGCCCUUAUGUCCAGGGCUAGACACGUGCUACAAUGGUCGGUACAACGGGGUGCAAGACGGUGACGUCAAGCUAAUCUCUUAAAACCGAUCUCAGUACGGAUUGAAGUCUGCAAUUCGACUUCAUGAAGCUGGAAUCGCUAGUAAUCGCGGAUCAGCAUGCCGCGGUGAAUACGUUCCCGGGCCUUGUACACACCGCCCGUCAAGCCAUGAAAGAUGGUAGUACCCGAAGUCGCUUCUCUAACCGCAAGGAAGAGUGCGCCGAAGGUAAGACUGUUGAUUGGGGCUAAGUCGAAACAAGGUA